AUUGAACGCUGGCGGCAGGCCUAACACAUGCAAGUCGAGCGGCGCGGCGGACGGGUGAGUACUGCCUAGGAAUCUGCCCGGUGGUGGGGGAUAACGUCCGGCAACGGGCGCUAAUACCGCAUACUAUCAGAUGAGCCUAGGUCGGAUGAGCUAGUUGGUGGUGUAAAGGCCUACCAAGGCGACGAUCCGUAACUGGUCUGAGAGGAUGAUCAGUCACACUGGAACUGAGACACGGUCCAGACUCGUACGGGAGGCAGCAGUGGGGAAUCUUGGACAAUGGGCGAAAGCCUGAUCCAGCCAUGCCGCGUGUGUGAAGAAGGUCUUCGGAUUGUAAAGCACUUUUAGUUGGGAGGCGUUACCAACAGAAUAAGCACCGGCUAACUUCGUGCCAGCAGCCGCGGUAAUUC
rnacentral:rRNA from 1 species